rnacentral:rRNA from 1 species
UACGUAGGGACCAAGCGUUGUUCGGAUUUACUGGGCGUAAAGGGCGCGUAGGCGGCGCGGUAAGUCGGGUGUGAAACCUCCAGGCUCAACCUGGAGACGCCACCCGAUACUGCCAUGGCUAGAGUCCGGUAGGGGACCACGGAAUUCCUGGUGUAGCGGUGAAAUGCGCAGAUAUCAGGAGGAACACCGGUGGCGAAGGCGGUGGUCUGGGCCGGCACUGACGCUGAGGAGCGAAAGCGUGGGGAGCGAACAGG